CGACAGAGGAUUAGCCUGCGGAAACCGGGUGGCAAAUGAAUCUUACUAUAACCACUUGGAACCACUGUGUUUCUGGUCCAUCUUGUGAGGCCCAUCUUUGGUUCAGAGGGAUGGAGGCAGAAGUCAUACGGCAGGUAAGCUCAAGCAGUGAUACAUGACAGGGCUUUCAGAACUGGGGCCAUGAAGAGCAGGCUUUAUUUGCAUGCUGUUUAAAAACAAGAUUUUACAACUGAUUUACCCUAUUAAACACUUCCAUGAAUAACUCAGUGGAGAUUUAUUUGCAAUAGUAGGAUCAGGUGAUUUGAAAUCUUUAGUGUGUGUGGUUGUAGCAGGAGGAGUACUGGGUUCCAGCAUUUAAUAAGAGGACCCAUGGUUUUAUGAAAAUGUCCAGAGAUAUAAUUUUGGUUAAGGUUAUACCUCAUCUUUGGUUGUACAGUUGUUUCUUUUAGUUUCAGUACAAUCUAAAACAGGAAAUGUCAAUUCACAUGGUCUGGUAGAGAAAGAAUGACUCUAAUGCUCUACUAUUCAGGUAGAAAUGAAGAAAGAAGGGUGAUCACUUCCAUGAGCACUGUAAGCCCUUGAAUGGGCUUAUAGGCAAAUACUUAUAGUUAAAAUAUGUAACUCCCAUUUUAGUAUUGGAUAGAAUACUGUCACAUUUUUUCUUAUUAAAUCUACAUUUUUACCAUCUUUCUUGAUUGAUUUUGCCAAUAAAAGUUCCUUACCUUUUUAUAAAAGUCAAAGAUUGACAUUCAUUUUUCUGUAGGAAAUUUUGUCUUGUAGAAAAAAUUAGAAGCCAAAGAUAAUAUAACCUUCCUCCAAAGAGACUUUACCAUUAAUUUUUGCAAGCAGCUGGGUGGGAGUCACUUGUAGUCCUAGAUUACAUUAACCUAAUUUAGAUUGAGGUGAUUUCAAAUUGACUUGUGUCCCUGUGAAGGCUGAGAUAUUUCUGGAACAUUUUUAUUCCUUGGGUACAACAACUUUUUACCCAUCCAAAAUCCUGUGGUGUUUAUUAGGUUUCCUACUAGCUGACAGGCUUUAAACUCUGACUUUUUC
rnacentral:lncRNA from 1 species